AAGAUGUGAGAUAGAAGAGGACUGU
rnacentral:piRNA from 1 species